rnacentral:rRNA from 1 species
UACGUAGGGGGCAAGCGUUGUCCGGAAUCAUUGGGCGUAAAGAGCGUGUAGGCGGCCAGAUAAGUCCGCUGUGAAAACUCGAGGCUCAACUUCGAGCUGUCGGUGGAAACUAUUUGGGCUAGAGUCCGGAAGAGGAGAGUGGAAUUCCUGGUGUAGCGGUGAAAUGCGUAGAUAUCAGGAGGAACACCGGUGGCGAAGGCGGCUACCUGGACAGAAACUGACGCUGAGGCGCGAAAGCUAGGGGAGCAAACAGG